CAGUCGCCGCGGUAAUACGAAGGGGGCUAGCGUUGCUCGGAAUUACUGGGCGUAAAGGGAGCGUAGGCGGACAUUUAAGUCAGGGGUGAAAUCCCAGAGCUCAACUCUGGAACUGCCUUUGAUACUGGGUGUCUUGAGUGUGAUAGAGGUAUGUGGAACUCCGAGUGUAGAGGUGAAAUUCGUAGAUAUUCGGAAGAACACCAGUGGCGAAGGCGACAUACUGGAUCAUUACUGACGCUGAGGCUCGAAAGCGUGGGGAGCAAACAGGAUUAGAUACCCGCGUAGUCCCUGUCUCUUAUAA
rnacentral:rRNA from 1 species